ACGAUUUGUAACUCCGACACGGUCACAUAAAGAUCUCUCUUGCUGGGUUUACGACUCUUGUGCCGACUGCUCAUAUGAAUAACGUUAAUUUCUUCAUGUUCUUUUACUUCGGCCAUCUGGAAAAGUAUAGGUUAAAGAUCUGACAUUUGACGCCGACAUAUAUGCCUCUGGGAGAAAAGCUCAAGUUGGCAGUACAGACGUGUAUAUUUUAGCUGCAGCCAGGAGGUCUCGUAGCGACGUGAGAGGCAUGUGUGAGGGUCAGCAAUGGAGGAGGGCUGCUGAUGCCAGCGUCAUACUCGAAGCUUCGCUGUAAUCCUCGGCGACCAUUACGUUCACUCAUUGGUACGCG